UACGUAGGGUGCGAGCGUUAAUCGGAAUUACUGGGCGUAAAGCGUGCGCAGGCGGUUUUGUAAGCCAGAUGUGAAAUCCCCGGGCUUAACCUGGGAACUGCAUUCGGGACUGCAUUGCUAGAGUAUGGGAGAGGGAAGUGGAAUUUCAGGUGUAGCGGUGAAAUGCGUAGAUAUCUGAAGGAACAUCAGUGGCGAAAGCGACUUCCUGGACCAAUACUGACGCUCAUGUGCGAAAGCGUGGGGAGCAAACAGG
rnacentral:rRNA from 1 species